AAUAACAAAGGUCCCUGACACUCUUAUGGUGAUAGUUGAUUCUGCUAUCUAUUUUGUCAACUCCAAUUAUAUGAAGGGCAUGUUCGAAUUAUUUAAUUAGCUUAAUGAUAUUGCUUUCUUAUAAUUUUGAAGGAUACUGAGAUGGUUAACUGAUGAAAAGAAAAUUACUAAAAGAAACUAAUCAAACAAAAAUUUCACAAUUCGAUUGUUGAGAUGUCACUAAGUUAUCUCCUACAUUUUUAAUCCUUUCAAUUCUUUUCCCUUGGUACGGUAUGUUAUUAAGAGUAAUUUGUUUCGUAUUCUCUUGCAGCGUUACUGAUACAGAUACUAAUGGAAUUCAUGUCUGCGAAAUUUGAUUAAGUCCCUUAACAAAUUAGACGUUGAAGUAAGUUGGUAGUAUAUAAAUUCUAUUUUUUCUGUUCGAGUUUUGACACUUUUUUGUUGAUUCUUUUGUUUGAAGUUAGCUCCAAAAGAUUUUGACGCUGGCUUGGUUUGUUUAACUAAUUAUUAGUUUAUGGCUCCUAUUUUAUCUCUUCAUUUCUUCUACUUGAGUUUUCCGGUGUUGUUAGCGACUUAGCAUUCAACUUUUCAUCUUUCGUUAAUCAUUGGGUUGGAUUAUAACUUAUACUUUAUUUAUUGAAUUCUAAUGUUAGAAAAACUAUAGAAGUUGACUUAUACUUUAAUAGUUACAUAGGUGGUUUUUUUAUUUCAAGAAUAUGGCCAGAAUUUAUAUUGCCAAGUAAGAUUUGUGAUGAUAUACGAGGAAUUAACUUUGUACUUUGGCUUCUAUUCAUGUGAUAAUAUCCAGCAACUUUUGUUCAAUGCCUUGAUUAAACCAAGUGACAGAUCAAUUUGUUAAAAAAAAUUAGAGCUUUCAUCUGUUUAUGUAAUUGGAUUUGUGCUUAUGGUUUGUCAAAAUGCUAGUCAAUUAUAAGUUUUUUAUCAAAUAUUUUUUGGUCAUUAUUUCAGCUUAGUGAUGUGGAGAGCGAGUCUACUUCCCCUCAUGGAUGUAAGAGUAGCAUCAAGCGAUAACAAUGCAAAUCACCAAGCAAGUACAUUGCACUUUGUAUAUUUAUUUAUUGAGGAUGAGGAUCUACUCUUUAUUGUAUAAUGUUUAAGUUAUCAUACAUUUAUUUGUAUAAUUUUAGUUUGAUAUGAAUUUGAAAUUGUGAUGUUUGUUAGUAUUGAUAUUUUUAAUAGAAU
rnacentral:lncRNA from 1 species